CUGGCUCAGAACGAACGCUGGCGGCGCGUCUUAAGCAUGCAAGUCGAACGGCAAGAGGUAGCAAUACCUCCUAGAGUGGCGGACUGGUGAGUAACACGUGGGUGACAUACCCUUCAGAUGGGGAUAGCUAUUAGAAAUAGUAGAUAAUACCGAAUACGAGCACAGGGGUUAGAGAUCUGUGAGGAAAGGAGCUAAGGCUCCGCUGAAGGAAUGGCCUGCGGCCCAUUAGCUAGUUGGUGAGGUAAGAGCCCACCAAGGCGAUGAUGGGUAUCCGGCCUUAGAGGGUGAACGGACACAUUGGGACUGAGAUACGGCCCAGACUCCUACGGGAGGCAGCAGCUAAGAAUAUUCCGCAAUGGACGAAAGUCUGACGGAGCGACGCCGCGUGGAUGAAGAAGGCCGGAAGGUUGUAAAAAUCCUUUUGAAACUGAAGAAUAAGCGUUGUAGGGAAUGACAGCGUGGUGACAGUAGGUUUUGAAUAAGCAACGGCUAAUUACGUGCCAGCCGCCGC
rnacentral:rRNA from 1 species